GCCCUUAUAGCUCAGUGGUAGAGCGCGACACUUGUAAUUCUGCAAGUCUAUGUCGAGGUCCAUCGUUCAAUCCGGUGUGGGGGCA